AACGCGAAGAACCUUACCCAGGCUCGAAUGCAGGCGGCGAUACCAGAGAUGGUAUUUCCGUUAAGGACGCCUGUAUAGGUGCUGCAUGGCUGUCGUCAGCUCGUGCCGUGAGGUGUUUGGUUAAGUCCAGCAACGAGCGCAACCCUUAUCAUUAGUUGCCAACACGUUAUGGUGGGAACUCUAAUGAGACUGCCUAGGUUAACUAGGAGGAAGGUGAGGAUGACGUCAAGUCCGCAUGGCCUUUAUGUCUGGGGCUACACACGUGCUACAAUGGUCGGUACAGAAGGCAGCAAGACCGUAAGGUGGAGCAAAUCCGUAAAACCGAUCUCAGUUCAGAUUGUAGUCUGCAACUCGACUACAUGAAGCUGGAAUUGCUAGUAAUGACGUGUCAGCAACAACGUCGUGAAUACGUUCCCGGGCCUUGUACACACGACGCAC
rnacentral:rRNA from 1 species